CCUACGGGUCGCACCAGUUGGGAAUUUUGGGCAAUGGGCGCAAGCCUGACCCAGCGACGCCGCGUGGGGGAUGAAGGCCUUCGGGUUGUAAACCCCUGUCAGGAGGGACGAGGCCGCAAGGUGACGGUACCUCCAGAGGAAGCCCCGGCUAACUACGUGCCAGCAGCCGCGGUAAGACGUAGGGGGCGAGCGUUGUCCGGAAUUACUGGGCGUAUAGCGCGUGCAAGCGGCCUGGUAAGUCCCGUGUGAAAGCCUACGGCUCAACUGUAGGAGGUCGCGGGAAACUGCCGGGCUUGAGGGCAGGAGAGGGAAGUAGAAUUCCCGGUGUAGCGGUGAAAUGCGUAGAUAUCGGGAGGAAUGCCAGUGGUGAAGGCGGCUUCCUGGCCUGUCCCUGACGCUGAGACGCGAAAGCUGGGGGAGCGAACGGGAUUAGAUACCCGCGUAGUC
rnacentral:rRNA from 1 species